rnacentral:rRNA from 1 species
UACGGGGGGGGCAAGCGUUGUUCGGAAUUACUGGGCGUAAAGGGCUCGUAGGCGGCCAACUAAGUCAUACGUGAAAUCCCUCGGCUUAACUGGGGAACUGCGUCCGAUACUGGAUGGCUUGGAUUUGGGAGAGGGAUGCGGAAUUCCAGGUGUAGCGGUGAAAUGCGUAGAUAUCUGGAGGAACACCGGUGGCGAAGGCGGCAUCCUGGACCAAUAUUGACGCUGAGGAGCGAAAGCUAGGGGAGCAAACGGG